rnacentral:rRNA from 1 species
UACGUAGGUGGCAAGCGUUAUCCGGAUUUAUUGGGCGUAAAGAGAACGCAGGCGGUCUUUUAAGUCUGAUGUGAAAGCCUUCGGCUUAACCGGAGUAGUGCAUUGGAAACUGGGAGACUUGAGUGCAGAAGAGGAGAGUGGAACUCCAUGUGUAGCGGUGAAAUGCGUAGAUAUAUGGAAGAACACUAGUGGCGAAAGCGGCUCUCUGGUCUGUAACUGACGCUGAGGUUCGAAAGCGUGGGUAGCAAACAGG